AUUGAACGCUGGCGGCAUGCCUUACACAUGCAAGUCGAACGGUAGAGGUAGCAAUACCUUGAGAGUGGCGAACGGGUGAGUAAUACAUCGGAACAUGCCCAACUGUGGGGGAUAACGUAGCGAAAGUUACGCUAAUACCGCAUACGAUCUACGGAUGAAAGCGGGGGACCGUAAGGCCUCGCGCAGUUGGAGUGGCUGAUGCCAGAUUAGCUAGUUGGUGGGGUAAAAGCCUACCAAGGCAACGAUCUGUAGCUGGUCUGAGAGGACGACCAGCCACACUGGGACUGAGACGCGGCCCAGACUCCUACGGGAGGCAGCAGUGGGGAAUUUUGGACAAUGGACGAAAGUCUGAUCCAGCAAUGCCGCGUGCAGGAUGAAGGCCUUCGGGUUGUAAACUGCUUUUGUACGGAGCGAAAAAGUCUAGUGCUAAUAACACUGGGGGAUGACAGUACCUGAAGAAUAAGCACCGGCAAACUACGUGCCAGCCGCCGCCGUAAUAC
rnacentral:rRNA from 1 species